GACGAACGCUGGCGGCGUGCCUAAUACAUGCAAGUAGAACGCUGAAGGAGGAGCUUGCUUCUCUGGAUGAGUUGCGAACGGGUGAGUAACGCGUAGGUAACCUGCCUGGUAGCGGGGGAUAACUAUUGGAAACGAUAGCUAAUACCGCAUAAGAGUAGAUGUUGCAUGACAUUUGCUUAAAAGGUGCAAUUGCAUCACUACCAGAUGGACCUGCGUUGUAUUAGCUAGUUGGUGGGGUAACGGCUCACCAAGGCGACGAUACAUAGCCGACCUGAGAGGGUGAUCGGCCACACUGGGACUGAGACACGGCCCAGACCCCUACGGGAGGCAGCAGUAGGGAAUCUUCGGCAAUGGACGGAAGUCUGACCGAGCAACGCCGCGUGAGUGAAGAAGGUUUUCGGAUCGUAAAGCUCUGUUGUAAGAGAAGAACGAGUGUGAGAGUGGAAAGUUCACACUG
rnacentral:rRNA from 1 species